CUUACAUUUUGUUAAAGGAUUCCACAGAUGCUCCCUUACUGUCAAUGGAAAAGCAAGGGGAGUUUGAAAUCACAACAGAAAGCACACUACAUGGAAUGAGCAAAGAGAGUGGCCAGACAACUUUAGGUCCAUAUCCAUCCCAGUCACCGGGAGACAGCGAAAAGCAGGGGGAAUUCAUCACACCUAUCCUUCCCAGCACAACGGAAGAAACAGAGAAGGACCUUUCCUAAAUCCAGAAAGAUUGAGACUGUAGAUUUGUAAGCAAGAGUGUUUUGUUAAACUGUGAAGUGUUCGCUGGUGAGGAGCAGUCUACCCUUAACCUGACCAGCAUAAAAUGAGGAGGGACUUCGCUUCGUCGCGCAAUGAUGAUGUAAUUUGUCCAAUGUCACUCGUCCAAUGCCACUUCUAUGACCAGAUGGUGUUUUAUACUUAAUCCAAGUACCUAAAAGAUGAACAAUACAUAGGUAAGCUAAGUUAAAUCAAGACAGUGUAUUAUAUAAGGAUUAUUGGACUAAUAAAUUCUUCCAUCAGAUGUCAGUGUUAUUUUAGCAUUGACUUUGCAUCAACUAACUUAUUUAUGAAAGAAGUUCAAAAUGUUACAUUGGACCUGAGCUAUAAGUAUAGCUUCUCUCUGUCGCUUCAGUAUUACACAACGUUUUUACCACUCGU